rnacentral:rRNA from 1 species
GAUGAACGCUGGCGGCGUGCCUAAUACAUGCAAGUCGAGCGAACAGACGAGGAGCUUGCUCCUCUGACGUUAGCGGCGGACGGGUGAGUAACACGUGGAUAACCUACCUAUAAGACUGAGAUAACUUCGGGAAACCGGAGCUAAUACCGGAUAAUAUAUUGAACCGCAUGGUUCAAUAGUGAAAGACGGUUUUGCUGUCACUUAUAGAUGGAUCCGCGCCGCAUUAGCUAGUUGGUAAGGUAACGGCUUACCAAGGCGACGAUGCGUAGCCGACCUGAGAGGGUGAUCGGCCACACUGGAACUGAGACACGGUCCAGACUCCUACGGGAGGCAGCAGUAGGGAAUCUUCCGCAAUGGGCGAAAGCUUGACGGAGCAACGCCGCGUGAGUGAUGAAGGUCUUCGGAUCGUAAAACUCUGUUAUUAGGGAAGAACAAAUGUGUAAGUAACUAUGCACGUCUUGACGGUACCUAAUCAGAAAGCCGCGGCUAACUACGUG